rnacentral:rRNA from 1 species
UACAGAGGUCUCGAGCGUUAGGCGGAAUCACUGGGCUUAAAGCGUGUGUAGGCGGACCGUUAAGUACCUUGUGAAAUCCCACGGCUUAACCGUGGAACUGCUUGGUAUACUGGCGGUCUUGAGCCAGCUAGGGGCUACCGGAACAAAUGGUGGAGCGGUGAAAUGCGUAGAUAUCAUUUGGAACGCCAAUGGUGAAAACAGGUAGCUGGGGCUGUGCUGACGCUGAGACACGAAAGCCAGGGGAGCAAACGGG